rnacentral:rRNA from 1 species
UACAGAGGGUGCGAGCGUUAAUCGGAAUUACUGGGCGUAAAGGGCGCGCAGGCGGCUCAGACAGUCAGAUGUGAAAGCCCCGGGCUUAACCUGGGAACUGCAUUUGAUACUACUGAGCUUGAGUACGGGAGAGGAUAGUGGAAUUCCCAGUGUAGAGGUGAAAUUCGUAGAUAUUGGGAAGAACACCGGUGGCGAAGGCGGCUAUCUGGACCGUAACUGACGCUGAGGCGCGAAAGCGUGGGGAGCAAACAGG